rnacentral:rRNA from 1 species
AUACGUAGGUGGCAAGCGUUGUCCGGAUUUAUUGGGCGUAAAGCGAGCGCAGGCGGUUUCUUAAGUCUGAUGUGAAAGCCCCCGGCUCAACCGGGGAGGGUCAUUGGAAACUGGGAGACUUGAGUGCAGAAGAGGAGAGUGAAUUCCAUGUGUAGCGGUGAAAUGCGUAGAUAUAUGGAGGAACACCAGUGGCGAAGGCGACUCUCUGGUCUGUAACUGACGCUGAGGCUCGAAAGCGUGGGGAGCAAACAGGAUUAGAUACCCUGGUGGUCCACGCCGUAAACGAUGAGUGCUAAGUGUUGGAGGGUUUCCGCCCUUCAGUGCUGCAGCUAACGCAUUAAGCACUCCGCCUGGGGAGUACGACCGCAAGGUUGAAACUCAAAGGAAUUGACGGGG